CCGAUGACCAUUCACAACCUGUACCUAUUUGAUCGGAAUGGAGUGUGUCUGCAUUACAGCGAGUGGCACCGCAAGAACCAAGCGGAGAUCCCCAAGGAAGAGGAGUACAAGCUGAUGUAUGGGAUGCUCUUCUCCAUUCGCUCAUUUGUCAGCAAGAUGUCUCCGCUAGACAUGAAGGAUGGCUUUCUGGCUUUCCAAACUAGCCGUUACAAACUCCAUUACUAUGAGACGCCCACUGGAAUCAAGGUUGUCAUGAACACUGACCUGGGCGUGGGCCCCAUCAGAGAUGUGCUGCACCACAUCUACAGUGCGCUGUAUGUGGAGUUGGUCGUGAAGAAUCCCCUAUGCCCACUGGGACAAAUGGUGCAAAGUGAGCUCUUUCGCUCCCGGCUAGACUCCUAUGUCCGAUCUUUGCCCUUCUUUGCCCGAGCUGGCUGAAACACCUGCUACCUC